rnacentral:rRNA from 1 species
UACGAAGGGGGCUAGCGUUGUUCGGAAUUACUGGGCGUAAAGCGCACGUAGGCGGAUUGUUAAGUGAGGGGUGAAAUCCCGAGGCUCAACCUCGGAACUGCCUUUCAUACUGGCGAUCUCGAGGCCGGAAGAGGUGAGUGGAAUUCCCAGUGUAGAGGUGAAAUUCGUAGAUAUUGGGAAGAACACCAGUGGCGAAGGCGGCUCACUGGUCCGGAUCUGACGCUGAGGUGCGAAAGCGUGGGGAGCAAACAGG